rnacentral:rRNA from 1 species
AGUUUGAUCCUGGCUCAGGAUGAACGCUGGCGGUAUGCUUAACACAUGCAAGUCGAACGGGCACUUCGGUGCUAGUGGCGGACGGGUGAGUAACGCGUGAGAACCAACCUUCAGGACGGGGAUAACAGAGGGAAACCACUGCUAACACCCGAUGAGCCGAGAGGUAAAACAAUUUAUUGCCUGAAGACGGGCUCGCGUCAGAUUAGCUAGUUGGAGUGGUAACGGCACACCAAGGCAACGAUCUGUAGCCGGUCUGAGAGGAUGACCAGCCACACUGGGACUGAGACACGGCCCAGACUCCUACGGGAGGCAGCAGUGGGGAAUUUUCCGCAAUGGGGGCAACCCUGACGGAGCAAUACCGCGUGCGGGAGGACGGCCUAUUGGUUGUAAACCGCUUUUCUCUGGGAAGAAGCUCUGACGGUAUCAGAGGAAUCAGCAUCGGCUAACUCCGUGCCAGCAGCCGCGGUAAGACGGAGGAUGCAAGCGUUAUCCGGAAUGAUUGGGCGUAAAGCGUCCGCAGGUGGCUAGUCAAGUCCGCUGUCAAAGCGUGAGGCUUAACCUCAUACAGGCAGUAGAAACUGACCCGCUAGAGGGUGGUAGGGGUAGGAGGGGAAUUCCCAGUGUAGCGGUGAAAUGCGUAGAUAUUGGGAAGAACACCAGUGGCGAAAGCGCUCUACUGGGGCNNCACCUGACACUGAGGGACGAAAGCUAGGGGAGCGAAAGGGAUUAGAUACCCCUGUAGUCCUAGCCGUAAACGAUGGCGACUAGNUGUUGACCGUAUCGACCCNGACAGUGCCGUAGCUAACGCGUUAAGUCGCCCGCCUGGGGAGUACGCUCGCAGAGUGAACUCAAGGAAU